UAGGGAAUCUUCGGCAAUGGACGGAAGUCUGACCGAGCAACGCCGCGUGAGUGUAGAAGGUUUUCGGAUCGUAAAGCUCUGUUGUUAGAGAAGAACGUUGGUAGGAGUGGAAAAUCUACCAAGUGACGGUAACUAACCAGAAAGGGACGGCUAACUACGUGCCAGCAGCCGCGGUAAUACGUAGGUCCCGAGCGUUGUCCGGAUUUAUUGGGCGUAAAGCGAGCGCAGGUAGUUCUUUAAGUCUGAAGUUAAAGGCAGUGGCUUAACCAUUGUACGCUUUGGAAACUGGAGGACUUGAGUGCAGAAGGGGAGGGUAGAAUUCCAUGUGUAGCGGUGAAAUGCGUAGAUAUAUGAAGGAACACCGGUGGCGAAAGCGGCUCUCUGGUCUGUAACUGACGAUGAGGCUCGAAAGCGUGGGGAGCAAACAGG
rnacentral:rRNA from 1 species